AUGGACAAGCUGUUGGAGAGGCUCGAGGGGGCCGGGUACCGCGACGGAGCGGCGAUGUUCGGCGCGCCGUACGACUUCCGCUACGCCGUCGCGCCGGCCGGCCAUCCAUCCAGAAUAGGCACCGAGUUCUUCAGGAGCCUCAAGAGCCUGGUGGAGAGGGCGAGCCAGCUCAACGGCGACCGCCCCGCGAUCAUCGUCACCCACAGCUACGGCGGCACACUGGCACACCAGUUCCUGAUCCGGCAGCCCCUGGCGUGGCGCCGGCGGUUCGUGAGGCACUUCAUCCCCAUCGCCGCUCCGUGGGGAGGACUCGUGCUGGGCAUGCAGGCCCUGCGGAAGGAGUACCGGAGCCUGCAGAGCAGCCUGUGGCCGCUGCCCAGCGCGAAGGUGUUCGGAGCCGGGCAGCCACUGGUGAGCACUAAGCACCGAAACUACUCGGCCAGCGACGUGGUGGGCUUCCUCCGCGACAUUGGGUUCGGCGAAGGCGUCGGGCCGUACGAGUCGCGCGUGCUGCCGCUGUUCGAGGAGCUGCCGGUCUGUCCGAGGGUGCCGGUGACAUGCGUCGUGGGGGUCGGGGUGCCGACGCCGGAGAGGAUGGUGUACCCGAGGGAUGAUUUCGAGGGGACGCCCGGCGUGGAUGUUGGAGACGGUGACGGCCUGGUCAACCUGGCGAGCCUAGUGGCGGUGGAGCCGGAGUGGAGGCGUGGUGGUCCUUAUUUUAGGAUGGUCAAGGUGGCCAGCGUGAACCACGCGGCCAUUCUGGUUGACGAUCGUGCGCUUGGGAUUGUCAUCAGAGAAAUUCAACGAGCUAAUUAG
rnacentral:rRNA from 1 species